ensembl:lncRNA
GUGCUAUGGGGCUGUAGGGAGCUGGGGAAUAUUAUGACGCUGUAGGGGGCUAUUGGGAAAGCUAUAUGGUUCUAUGGGGAGGCUAUAGGAGCUUUAUAGGUGGUUAUGGGGCUUUAGGGAGCUGUGGGUGGUCUGUAGGCGGGUUGUAGUAGGGUAGGAGGCUAUAGGGGGCUAUGGAGGGGAUAUAGGGAGAUAUGGGGCAAUAGUGGGUUUUUAGGGGGUUGUGGCGGGCUGUGGGAAAGUAUAGGAUGAUAGGGGGCCGGGAAGGGUCUGUAGAGAGGGAUGUUAUGCUGGAGAAGGUAUGGGAGGCUAAAAUGGGCCUUUGGGGGUUACAGAGGGGCUGUGGUGGGCUAUUUGGGGAUAUAGGGAGAUAUGAGGCUAUAGGAAGUGUUUGGAGGAUGUGGUCCUCUAAGGGGCUGUGUGGGUCCAUAGGAUGAUCUGGAGCUAUAGGGUGAUCUCUAAAGGGAUGUGGGGCUAGAAGGCUCUCCCUUCCUUCCUUUCCCCCCUUUCCACAGCAGGGAGGGUGAAAUGCUAGUCAUGAAAUUGAAACUGGAACUGAAGUUGUCUUGGAAUAGAAUAUGAUGCUUUUGUGGUCUUCCAUCUGAAACAUGUUUUCUCCUUGGGCUUGAGGUAAUCUGUUUAUGUUUAAUGAUUAUGGUUAAUAAUCUAAUCAUGUUUCAUAAUGCCUUUUGAAAAG